ACACAUGCAAGUCGAGGGGCAGCAUGGUCUUAGCUUGCUAAGGCUGAUGGCGACCGGCGCACGGGUGAGUAACACGUAUCCAACCUGCCGUCUACUCUUGGCCAGCCUUCUGAAAGGAAGAUUAAUUCAGGAUGGGAUCAUGAGUUCACAUGUCCGCAUGAUUAAAGGUAUUUUCCGGUAGACGAUGGGGAUGCGUUCCAUUAGAUAGUAGGCGGGGUAACGGCCCACCUAGUCAACGAUGGAUAGGGGUUCUGAGAGGAAGGUCCCCCACAUUGGAACUGAGACACGGUCCAAACUCCUACGGGAGGCAGCAGUGAGGAAUAUUGGUCAAUGGGCGAUGGCCUGAACCAGCCAAGUAGCGUGAAGGAUGACUGCCCUAUGGGUUGUAAACUUCUUUUAUAAAGGAAUAAAGUCGGGUAUGCAUACCCGUUUGCAUGUACUUUAUGAAUAAGGAUCGGCUAACUCCGUGCCAGCAGCCGCGGUAAUACGGAGGAUCCGAGCGUUAUCCGGAUUUAUUGGGUUUAAAGGGAGCGUA
rnacentral:rRNA from 1 species